rnacentral:lncRNA from 1 species
GGGUGCCCUGUGCACCACAUUAAAAUAUCAUAAUGUAUGGAUCUAAGGCACAUACUUUAGCCCCAAAUGAAUUAAUAAUUAUAUAUAAAAUAUUUAAGUGAUAAUAAUCUUGCUUAUCUUCUUAUAAUUGAGAGCUAUUUGGGGGGUGAUUUGAAUAAAUCAAGUCAUUUAAAAAAGCCACUCUAAGAAAUUUGAAUAAAUGCCUUCUUUGCCUUUGAAAACAUUUUCUUUAAUACAUACAAGAAUUCAAAAGCAUUCCAUGGAACCAAGAGCUGUCUCAGGGCUCAGAGAGGGGGCAGUCAAUACCCACUUGUUGCUGUAGAGAUGGUAGUAUGUGCAUGUGUUUCUAACCCUCUGAAAGGUGUACUUUAAGGAAACUCUACGCCCAACAUGGUGCUCAAACUCAUGACCCCAAGAUUGAGAGCUGCAUAUUCUACUGACUGAGCCAGCCAGGUGCUCCUGAAAGGCAUAGUUUUAAACUGAGGGCUAUUGCACUUCAGGGCCUCAGGGUUGUGAGUUUGAGCCCCAUGCUGGGGGUAGAGAUUCCUUAAAAAUAAAAUUUUAAAAAAGCCCAAAAAACUAAGUGCCUACCUACUAGAGGUUCCUGAAUGUUCUCUGUUCACAGCACACUUGGGGUCUCGGUAAUUUUUUCACAGUGCAACUAAACCAAAAUAAAAACCAAUUAAAAAAUUAUGUAGUUAGGUCCAAACAAAUCGUUAAGUAUUUAUAUCCUUACCUAGUGGCUGUCUUAUUUUUGAAAAAGAAAAGCCACAUAAAUUGAGAGGAAAAAUAGUUUCAUUUUAUUUAUAAUCACAAUGACUUUCUGUCAUUGUGUGCCUGCUGAGCACUGCACAGCUUCUCAAACCUUAGAAUCAGGUUGGACACAACCACCCUCAUUUCUUGUUCACAAUGACUUUUUUUUUUUUUAAGAUUUAUUUACUUAUUUUAGAGAGAGUGUGAGCGAGCAAGUACAGCUGGGAGAGGCAGAGGGAGAGGGAGAGAAUCCCAAGCAGACUCCAUGCUCAGUUGGAACCAGAUGCGGAACUUGAUCCCAUGACUGAGAUCACGACCUGAGCUGAAAACAAGCAUCGUAUGGUUAACCGACUGCAUCAUCUGGGCACCCCCGUUCACGUUAAUUUUUCAGGGGUACUUAUCACCGAAACAUCCAAGAAUUCAGUUUCUCAUAGAUAUCUCAUAAAAAAGAAUGUAGUGCAGUACAAUGUAAUGUUGAAACUGAACUUUCUUGGCUAAUAGUGAGCAGUGUACAAAAGACUUCCUGAAUUGCUGCAUUUCCCCUGAAAAUUAAAAUAUCCUUUGUCACCCUUGUGGAUUUGCUGCAGUGCCUGGGGGUGCCUCGGUGCACAGUUUGGGAACCAAAUGUCUUCAUCAAAUCUCUGUUUCUCACCUCAUUCCACUUCACCCCUCGGUUUAUUCAAAACUAUGGUCAAAGCUGCUAGUUUCAAAGCAAGUAAAAGCACCAAAAAAACUUGUUAAGCCAGGUUAGGUCUUCACUUUGAGGACUAUUUUAACAGUGUAUUUUGAGAGCUGCAAAACAAUGACCAAAUCACUAGCAAGUUCUAAAAGUGAACUGUUUGAUACAGAGGGAUUGGCGACCAGAUGUACAUUUUGCAUUUCCGAGCUCUUUUUGGCCCAGAUGCGAAGGAUACAUCGGAAGGGAAGGCAAUGCUGUUGGUCAAACAGGCCCCAGGUGGUUAUAGGAACUGCAGCAUGAGUUCCUAUAAAGCUCGUCACUGGGCCAUGGUCUGGAUUGCAGGGCAGCCCACUCUCCCCGCUAACCUCCAGGAAGUGGUUGUCAGCCUUGACAUUCUCUUCCUGCCCCUGAACCUGGUGUCUGUACCUGCCCGUCUCACCCUGGCCCAGGAGGAAGUGUGGUGAAGGCAAGUGGGGACGUCUGCAUCUGACCUCUGUGGUCUACUUCCUUCUUAUUUCUUCUCUUCCAUCCUACGCCAGGCUGAAAAGGCAGGUUGACUGCUGGCACAAGGAGUUCUUUGUUGUGAGUAGACCAUCGUGUGUGCCACACCUGGUUCUUGGUUUGUUGAUAGGUCAGAGGACUUUUUUCAAGCCUGGCUUUCCAUGGGUGUUGGCUUGCUGGGGGCUCGUCCAUCCUGUUUUGGUGGUCAAAAGCUGGAUGCUGACUUCCUUCCAUUCCUUCUCGCACUGGGCGGAUGCUGCCAUUGCACAAUCCUGUUUCUUCAGAGCAUUGAUUGCCAUCUGAAAUUAUUUGCUUCCUGUCUCUUCUCAUUAGAAUAUAACGAUAGGGACUUCCUUGGUCUUGUCCAGCAAGUAAUGCAUUUAAAACAGUGUCUGGUACAUAAAAACUGCUCAAUAAAUAUGCGUGGAGUGAAUGCAUGAUGUGCAUAAAGCUUAAAGAAUUUGCACAUAGGGACAAGUUACCCAAGAAAUAAAUUUUUAAAUAUAAGGUUUGUGGGGCACUGGGGUGGCUCAGUGGUUGGGAGUUUGCCUUCUGCUCAGGGCAUGAUCCCGGAGUCCUGGGAUUGAGUCCUGCAUCGGGCUCCCUGGGAGGAGCCUGCUUUCCUCUCUGCCUGUGUCUCUGCCUCUCUGUGUGUGUCUCUCAUGAAUAAAGAAAUAAAAGGGAUCCCUGGGUGGCGCAGAGGUUUAGCGCCUGCCUUUGGCCCGGGGCACGAUCCUGGAGACCCGGGAUCGAGUCCCACGUCGGGCUCCCGGUGCAUGGAGCCUGCUUCUCCCUCUGCCUCUCUCUCUCUAUGUGACUAUCAUAAAUAAAUAAAAAUUAAAAAAAAAUAAAGAAAUAAAAUCUUAAAAAAAUUUUGCACAUAGAAUGUUCUCAAUAUACAAUAGCUAAAAAAAAAAAAAAAAAAAAAAAAAAAAGAAAAAAAG